rnacentral:rRNA from 1 species
AACGAACGCUGGCGGCAGGCUUAACACAUGCAAGUCGAACGGACGUAGCAAUACGUUAGUGGCGCACGGGAGAGUAACACGUGGGAACCUACCUUUUAGUUCGGGAUAACGUCGGGAAACUGACGCUAAUACCGGAUACGCCCCAAGGGGGAAAGAUUUAUCGCUAAAAGAUGGGCCCGCGCUAGAUUAGCUUGUUGGUGAGGUAAUGGCUCACCAAGGCUACGAUCUAUAGCUGGUCUGAGCGGAUGACCAGCCUCACUGGGACUGAGACACUGCCCAGACUCCUACGGGAGGCAGCAGUGGUGAAUAUUGGACAAUGGGGGAAACCCUGAUCCAGCCAUGCCGCGUGAAUGAUGAAGGCCUUCGGGUUGUAAAGUUCUUUUGGAGUGGACGAUGAUGACGGUACCCUCAGAAUAAGCUCCGGCUAACUUCGUGCCAGCAGCCGCCGUAA